UACGUAGGGCGCAAGCGUUAUCCGGAAUUAUUGGGCGUAAAGAGCUCGUAGGCGGUUUGUCGCGUCUGCCGUGAAAGUCCGGGGCUCAACUCCGGAUCUGCGGUGGGUACGGGCAGACUAGAGUGCAGUAGGGGAGACUGGAAUUCCUGGUGUAGCGGUGAAAUGCGCAGAUAUCGGGAAGAACACCCGUGGCGAAGGCGGCUCUCUGGGACGGUACUGACGCUGAGGCACAAAAGCGUGGGUAGCAAACAGG
rnacentral:rRNA from 1 species